GAUUAUUGGGCCUAAGCAUCCGCUAGCCGGUCUUGCAAGUCCUCCGUUAAAUCCAGCUGCUUAACAGAUGGGCUGCGGAGGAUACUACAAGGCUAGGAGGCGGGAGAGGCAAGCGGUACUCAGUGGGUAGGGGUAAAAUCCUCUGAUCCAUUGAAGACCACCAGUGGCGAAGGCGGCUUGCCAGAACGCGCUCGACGGUGAGGGAUGAAAGCUGGGGGAGCAAACCGGAUUAGAUACCCGGGUAGUCCCAGCUGUAAACGAUGCAGACUCGGUGAUGGGCCGGCUUUAUGCCAGCUCAGUGCCGCAGGGAAGCCGUUAAGUCUGCCGCCUGGGGAGUACGGUCGCAAGACUGAAACUUAAAGGAAUUGGCGGGGGGAGCACA
rnacentral:rRNA from 1 species